ensembl:lncRNA
CAAACAAAACAAGAUGAUGACGUCACUGCAUUGAGGAGGCGAGGUGAAAACGAAAGUUGAACAGCAGAUCAAAUCUUCGCGAGUGCAUGUUUCCUGUAAUCAUGUGUUUCAUGCAAAAGCGUUCAUGUUAUAAAUCACAUAUGUGGGAAUUACCUGUAUUUAUUUUCUUUAACUAAUCAGUCUGAAAACGGUGAAGAGAGCGACGAGACCUGAAACACUUCCUGAAAUGGCAGCGAUCUGCAGCUCCAGUCCAGAUGAUCCAGUGAUCCGGAUUCUUCUGAAACGGUUCUGGAGAAAGCUCAUCUGUGGGGGCGAUUCACAAAAGACAAAAGAAGUAAAAUAAAAACAAACAAUGUAGAAACUCAAAGAAGAGACUGGAGAACUGAACUCUGGGAAGGCACUCCCUGUGAAAAACCCGAGUUUAUGAUAUUCACAGAUCACUGGAUUAACUGGGACGUGUGGAGGGAAUUACCACUUGAUUUGGUUGAUUUUGUUUGUUGGAGGCGACGGAGUUUCGGAUGGUUUCCUUCCUGCCCUCUUCUGCUGAAGGAGGAGCCUUUCUUUUGGCUGAACGGCUCAUAAUGAACUAGAUGUUUAUGCCUAGUCCUACAAUACAGCUCUUCAGAAUUCUGCUGUCACUUUUCCAUUUUGCCCAAGGACCCGCUUAAGUGUUAAAACAUGCCUAACAUCAGUGUGAAGUGUGCAGAGAUUGAGACUGACAGAGGGUUUGAGUUCAAGCUUCCCUCUGAUUCACUGAAUCACACACUCAGAGACUGUGAGCAGAGCUGGACGGGCGUCUGAUAGCAGAUCCAUCAGAUCCUCAAACACUGAUUGAUCCUGUGACGGCUGUAAAAUCUGAUCGUCUCGUCACGUCUCGCUGUGUGAAUCUAAAUCAUGAGAUCAUCUGUGAUUCUGCUGAUGGAGUAAAUCAACUCAAUCUCUAUAUCUAUAUCUCUAUAUUUAAUCCUUCAUGAACAUUAUAAAUGCUGCUCUAAUUCUUCUUUCUCUCAUUUCAGCAUCAUUUCAGUCGUGUGACCGCAUUCAGAGUGAGGAAUGAAACUGCAGCGACUCCAAACUCAGAUCUCCUGAAUGAAGUGAGUCCAGAUCUCCAACAUUCAGUAGAUCACUUCUGGUGGCUUUUGGCUGUUUUCAUCAUUGUUCUUCUCAUCAUCUUCUUGAUCUGUUUGUUGAAGCGUAAAAGCAUUUUCAGAUGUUUUCAGAGGUUCAUCUGUCAGCGUGACGAUGAUGAUUCAGAAAACAGGUGAGUGAUUCCUGAACAACACUGAGAUCAUGGAUUUGAUUCACACAGAAUGAAUGAAUGAAUCAAAUGAGCUGUUUGAAUGCAGUGAGAGUGAUUCAGAUAAAUGAAUAAAUGUAAUGGAGUGAAUCACUUGAACACUGAAGAGGUGAAACAGGCGGAUGCUGUGAUCUGAUGAGAAUGAAUCUUCAUCUGCUGUAAGUGAAUCUUUAUCUCUGUGACUCUUCAUCUGCUGAAUCUGAAUGUGUUUCUCUCAGGGAUCCUGAAGCUGCUGUCCAAAUGAUCUGAUGCUCCUGAUUCACUGAAUCAAUCUCAGUGUGAAUCGACUCACGUCAUUAUUUACUCAAACGUCACUGUGAUCUUUGACAUGAAGAUGAUGAAGGGAGUUUGUGUUCAUUCUGAGCUUCUCAACUCUUAUUUAUUCUCGUUCGUCCUCAACUGUAAUGCAAAUGAAUACAUGAGAUAUAAAACACUGCAAGAUCUUACAAUCAAAAUGUGUGUUUGUUUUGUUCAUCAUUCAUCAAUUUAAUCAUUCAUGAUCAUUCCGUCAUUUACAUCUAUUCAUUCAAUCGUUUAUAUUGUUUUAUGUUUUAGAUUAUUAUUAUUAGGUUGUUCAUCCUGGUGUUUUUUAUGCUUCAUGUAAUGUGUGUCAUCAUGAAUGAGAUGAGGGUGAAUGUCUCCAGCUGCAGGGUUUUAAAGGAUGUCUUGUUAUACAGUAAUAACUCUUGCUGUAGGUUGUACUGAUCAGAUGAAGUCAGACUGAGCAGUGAAACAGACACAACUAAGGUUUUGCAGAGGAGCAGUCAUCUGAGUGUUCAAACUAAAAUCAGGUGGAAAGAACAGCAGGAGAGGAAAAAUAAACAGAUGAAGUAUCAGAUUGGUGAUGUAUGUCUUGUGUAAGCAGAUGCUUGCUGCACAGCAGUCUGUGUUUCCCUACAUAUGACAAACUACUGUGAAACAAUUAUCAUACUCUGAAGGAGCAAAACAGUAGAUAUAAGCUGUAAAUAUGGAAAGCAAUAUGUAAUCAAUGUUUGUACAGAUUGUGUGGAUCUUGCAUCAAAAUAUUAAUAUAAGCACACCUAGUCAUACUUUUGAGAUGGCAUGAUGAUAAUUAACUGGAAUAAUUGAAUUAAAAACAUUAAAUAGUGAGAAGACUGCAGCUGCUUCUGCUGGGAAUGAGAGUGAAGGUGAGCCUUGGGUAGUCGAAGAAUUGAACAAUUCAUACACAAAUAUGAUUCAGAGUUCUGCAUUAACAUGCAUGUGAUACUGUACUAUACUGUACUAUACUGCAAGAUAUAUACCUGCUUUUUAGUUUAAUACACCCCUGCCUUGGUGAAACACAGUAACUGACUUAAAUAUAAAGCACUGUAUAAAUAAAGGUGAAUUGACUUAAAC